rnacentral:misc_RNA from 1 species
GGGAUGCCGUUGAAGGGAGGAAGAACUUGACAGAAGAUGCAGGUGGCUGCCUGCUCAGCAAGUAAACCUUACACGUUCGUUCUGUCUUUACUACUCAACUGUCUAACUAAUAUUGCAAUGUUAAGACAUUCUGAUGUACUAAUUGCUGCUGUUAAUUGGAAAAAGUAGAGAGACGUGUAUUGCUUCAAAUUCUGGCGGGAACUGAUUCAUAUCACUGCAAGACAUGUUUUUGUGCACA